rnacentral:lncRNA from 1 species
UAGGUAUAAAUCUAACAAAAUAAGUCCAGGAUCUGUAUGUGGAAGAGCAUCAAACAGCAAUGAAAGAAAUCGAAGAAGAACUAAAUAGAGGCAUGUUCUGUGUUAGUGAAUCAGAAUAGUCAGCAUCAUUACAAUAUCAAUACUCUUCAAAUUGAUCUAUAGAUUUAACACAAUUCCAGUCAAAGCCCUAGUAAUAUAUUUUGUAGAAAUUAACAAAUUUGAUUCCAAAAUUUAUAUAGAAAUGCAAAAGACAUAAAAUAGUCAAAACCAUACUGAAGAAAAAAAAGUUGGCAGAAUCACUUUGCCCAAUUUCAAGAAUUAUUAUAAAGCUACGGGAAUAAAAGCAGAUUUGGAAAAAUAAUAGAUCAGUGGACAGAAUGUAGAGUCCGUACAUAGACCCAUACAAAUAUGGUCAACUGAUUUUUGCACCAGAAGCAUCAUUUAUGAAAAAACAUUGGUAAGUUGGAUCAUUAAAAUUAAAUGCUUUUGCUCUGUAAAGAAUGAAAAAGAUAAAUUACUAAAUAGAAGAAAACAUUUGCCUUAAAUGUAUAUUGCUCCGUUGAAGAAGUCGGUCUGAAGUGGUAGCAGACCACGUGAUUUCAAUUAUAUGACUAACGGAAAAAUGAGGAUGCAGACACACCCAGAAGGGUGGCAGGGAGAACACAGGGAGAAGACGGUGUCUGCAGGCCUA